rnacentral:rRNA from 1 species
CACGUAGGGUGCGAGCGUUGUCCGGAAUUAUUGGGCGUAAAGAGCUCGUAGGCGGUGUGUCGCGUCGGCCGUGAAAACCUGCAGCUUAACUGUGGGCUUGCGGUCGAUACGGGCAUCACUGGAGUUCGGCAGGGGAGACUGGAAUUCCUGGUGUAGCGGUGAAAUGCGCAGAUAUCAGGAGGAACACCGGUGGCGAAGGCGGGUCUCUGGGGCCGAUACUGACGCUGAGGAGCGAAAGCGUGGGGAGCGAACAGG